AUAUAAUAAUAAUAAUAAAAAGUUGGAAGCAAUUGCAAAAUAAGUUGUGGUGUCCUAUUGUAUAUAGAAUGUAAUGAAAUAUUAUGACUUCACACUGUAAUUGACCAAUCAGAAGCAAGCAUUCAACUGAGCAGCAUAAUAAAAAUUAUCAGUUAAAAUGUGGGAAAAGUAAUCACCCCCUUAGACUUAAAACAAGAAUUCAAUACAGUGAAGAAGUUCGGAAGAGGUGACAUGAGCCUGUGUGAAUUAUUUUAAAGAACAAAAUAAAAUCAGGUUUCCAUAGUAAAAAUUUUACAAUUUGUAAAGUGUUGUGCUUGUUAGCUGUCUAAAUACUUUUUCAUAACUCUGUAUAUGGCACAUACUCACAAGCACUUCUCUGUAUGAAUUCGUCUCACACCUCAUAUCCAGUUACAGUACAGCAGUGUUGUAAGGGACCUUCUGAAUCAGAAGCAAACAAGCACUCACACAAACACCGCAGACGUGGAGCAAAAGUACAUUGACCAUCUGACAAGUUCAAAAAUGAUUCAGAAGUGAACUGACAUAACAGGCCGUGACUCAGCGACAGACAGGUGAGCUCAUCAAGACAGAGAUGAGGCCUCUACACGUUUUUGCCUCCAGCUAUUUUUUCCUGUACAUUCUGUGGAAAACUGCAGUCUCAUCACAUUUUUUUAUUUUAUUUUACAUGCUGAAGAAUCAACAGAGGAUUAGCUGUUUAAACAACAUGUCACUGAGAGAGCCAUAUAGUUGCUUAACAGAGUGGAUCUGUAUAGGUGAUGUUAGUGCACAGGGACAGAUAUAUCCCAGACCACUUUGCUGAUAAAUGACCUGACAUUCUCUAAGACUCCCAGAUGGUCCACAAGCUUCACUCGCCCUCAAAUUACUCUUUCACCUUGCCUGAGAUAAAAUGUACACAUUUGAUUUUAACUGAUAGCAUGCAGUUUUCUAAGAGACUAAAUCAGUCUUAAUCUACUGUUUGAGACUGAUCAUCCCACGUUCACCAUUAUCCCAAAAUAUUCACUGCUUUGAGCAUUAUUAACUCAUUGUUUAAAUAAUUUCUCAGCUAAGCAUAUACAGAUACUGCAGAUAACAACUAGCAUUUGCAGUUAGAUUCGCCAAACCAUCUGAAAAAAAACAUUUCAUAACAGCUUUGGUCUCCACAUUUUUUAUAUUCCGUUGGCAAAGAUUGA
rnacentral:lncRNA from 12 species